rnacentral:rRNA from 1 species
GACAGAGGUGCCAAGCGUUAGGCGGAAUCACUGGGCUUAAAGCGUGUGUAGGCGGGGGGCUAAGUACCUUGUGAAAUCCCACGGCUCAACCGUGGAACUGCUGGGUAUACUGGGUGCCUUGGGUCAUCUAGGGGCUGCCGGAACAAAUGGUGGAGCGGUGAAAUGCGUAGAUAUCAUUUGGAACGCCAACGGCGAAAGCAGGCAGCUGGGGAUGCACCGACGCUGAGACACGAAAGCCAGGGGAGCGAACGGG